UACAGAGGUGGCAAGCGUUGUUCGGAAUUACUGGGCGUAAAGGGCGCGUAGGCGGCCUUCUAAGUCAGACGUGAAAUCCCCAGGCUUAACUUGGGAACUGCGUCUGAUACUGGAAGGCUUGAGUGCGGGAGAGGGAUGUGGAAUUCCAGGUGUAGCGGUGAAAUGCGUAGAUAUCUGGAGGAACACCGGUGGCGAAGGCGGCAUCCUGGACCGACACUGACGCUGAGGCGCGAAAGCUAGGGUAGCAAACGGG
rnacentral:rRNA from 1 species